UAUAAACAUCAAAGAAAAAAACUGGUCUUUUAUAUUGAUCCAGAUAUUCACCAUUUUUGUGCUCUUCAUUCUUCUGUGCACAUCUGAGUCUUCACUCCCACCUGAGAACGUCCUUCAGCAGCUCCGGUGUGCUGAUCUAAUUUUCUCUCCCUUGUCUCUCCCCUCUGAUACUUAUAUGUAAACCAAACAUCAGACUUAAAGAAUGUAUACAUUGACUUCAACAUUUUUGGCAAUGAAUGUAAACAUCCUCAAAAUAAAC
rnacentral:lncRNA from 1 species